rnacentral:rRNA from 1 species
UACCAGCUCUCCGAGUGGUGUGGAUGUUUAUUGGGCCUAAAGCAUCCGUAGCUGGCUGGGCAAGUCCCCUGUUAAAUCCACCGAUUUAAUCGUUGGUGUGCGGGGGAUACUGUUCAGCUAGGGGACGGGAGAGGCCGACGGUAUUUUCGGGGUAGGGGUGAAAUCCUAUAAUCCCGGGAAGACCACCAGUGGCGAAGGCUGUCGGCUAGAACGCGCCCGACGGUGAGGGAUGAAAGCUGGGGGAGCGAACCGGAUUAGAUACCCGGGUAGUCCCAGCUGUAAACGAUGCAGGCUAGGUGUUUGGGCGGCCACGUGCCGCUCUAGUGCCGCAGAGAAGUCGUUAAGCCUGCCGCCUGGGGAGUACGGCCGCAAGGCUGAAACUUAAAGGAAUUGGCGGGGGAGCACCACAAGGGGUGAAGCUUGCGGUUU